GAUUUUAGAAAAAUGAUUUAAAGAAAUAGGAUUUUCUGCGGUGCAAUCGUGGCCGUCCAAAGCUUCCACCGCUUCAUCACAGCCCUUAAAAUCAAUUAAAUUUGAGGUAUAAAUACCCCAAGAUCAGAUUAAGGCUCUAGAUUGCUCUAGAGCAACCAGCAAGCUCGAGCUCUCUCGGCCCGAGAGAGAAACCCGACAACCUGCAAGGCAGCUCGGCGACAACUCCGGCGUCAGGCCACCGAUCAAUGACGCAAGGCCACCAAUUUCUUCCUCUCAUCGUCGCCGUCACGCCUGUCGCUUCAGAUCAUCCAUGCGCUCGACGAGGAAGAAGAACCGACGUGAGAAAGUCCGACGGCUCCGGCGAGCUUCUGCAAAUUCCGGCCAUCGAUUGGGCUGUAUGGGCUCGAGUGCUUCCGUAGACGAGGGUUGACCACGAUCGAAACUGGAAUUCAGAAACUUGUUGGGUUAUGAGCAUCAGAACCUCAGUUCAUCAUCAGUAGAGUUUCGAAGGGAAUUUCGUUAACUCACAAUCCAAGCUGGAGGUUAACUUUGCAAACCAAACUUAUUGAAGGUAAAAUUCAAGUCCUGCUCUUUUGGUACUCUUGACAGAUUGGGUGAACUGUGGUGCUGUGGUUGAAAUCGAAGUCUCCUUGAACGGUUUGAGCAUAGUUUCAAUGUUAUAAAUUCUGGUGGUUGUGAUAAUGCUCACUGUGAAUCGAAAUGUUGUUAGUUUUAGUGCGUGCCAGUUAUCUGUGUUGUAAGAACUUGUAAUUUGGUUUGGUCGUGAUUGUUAGUUGGCCAGAUGAAAGGGAAGGAAAAGUUUAAUAUAUUGGUUAUACAUUGAUUGGGUGCCCUUAGUAUUUUGGGCACACCCUAAUCGAGAAUGGAAUAAGGUUAGGUAUCCACAGUAGUUCGAACGAAUUACUAUGCUACGAAUAGAAUGAGAAAGGCAGAGUGCCGCGAGACUCAAAUCAUGUAAAGCUUUUCAAGAUUUAAAUUACCGAGUCUACAAAAAUAAAAAUCAACAAAUCAGAGAAUGAAUUCAAAGAAAUUGAAUCAACAAACCACUAAAUGGAAAAUAGGAAUGGUCAACUUUAGGAUAAACUAUCAUUGGACAAACUAUCAUACACAUGGAGAGAUACAGCUUCUAUUUCAUAUACAAAGGGCUUUCAACCUUGCCACGAUAAGUAUUAAUUGUGUGUGUUAAAAUGUAGAGCCAUUAAGGCAUUAUUUAUUUUUAACAAGACUGCAGAGUAUUAGAUAUGUUGCUUAUUCUACUUGGCUCACAGAAUACAUAGCACACUAAUCUUCAUGAGUAGUAAUUAUCAUGGCAAGAGCACUUGAUGAAUCUAACAACACUAGAACAACAAAACAGAACCGCCCAACUAAACCUCACAAUAACAAAGGUCCAAAGCUAGAAGACAAUGAACCAUCAAUAUGCACCAAAAACUUAAAAUCAAAAUAAAUCUUAGGACUUUUCCUAAGAACUUCAGUCUGGGGCAAUUGCAAAUUACAAGAUGCAUGUUCAAUCUCUUAUGCAAGUAUUUCUAACCAGUUUCCUAAACAAUUCUUUGGACCAAAACCUAGACGCACCAAUUCCCAACCAUUCAGGACAUGUUCCAAAUGAAUGUAAAGAAGAUAAUUAUUAAGAGAUAUCCCACAUGGAAUUAUCAAAAUUCGGCCACCACAAGACAAAUGGUACAUAGAGGAUCAAAAUGAAAUGCACAACCCAUCAGAAAACAAACAUUGAUCAGAGUAGUAAGCCUAAUUGAGUAGACCCUGGUA